CCUACGGGUGGCUGCAGUCGAGAAUCAUUCACAAUGGGGGAAACCCUGAUGGUGCGACGCCGCGUGGGGGAUUGAAGGUCUUCGGAUUGUAAACCCCUGUCAUGUGGGAGCACAUUAACAAGAUAGUACAACAAGAGGUAGAGACGGCUAACUCUGUGCCAGCAGCCGAGGUACUACCGAGGUCUCGAGCGUUGUCCGGAAUCACUGGGCGUAAAGCGUGCGUAGGCUGUUUCGUAAGUCGUGUGUGAAAUGCGCGGGCUCAACCCGCGGACGGCACAUGAUACUGCGAGACUAGAGUAAUGGAGGGGAAACUGGAAUUCUCGGUGUAGGAGUGAAAUGUGUAGAUAUCGGGAUGAACACUCGUGGCGAAGGCGAGUUCCUGGACAUUAACUGACGCUGAGGCACGAAGGCCAGGGGAGCGAAAGGGAUUAGAUACCCUUGUAGUC
rnacentral:rRNA from 1 species